ACGAAAAUCGUACGAUCGUGAUUGUAUAUAUAUGGGACAGUAGUUUGUACUACGUUUCUGAUCGAUAUCGGCCACUGCAAAGUGGUCGUAGAACAUCGACAACGUGAUGGCAAACAAAGUGGCAGUGAAAGGUUGGAAAGAUGAGAAAUUAACCUUUUGUUUCGACGAAAGUCGAGGUAUCAUUGUAUACGUUUCAUAGGUUUUCGUUCUGUUAUUUGAGAAUUAAUCGGUGGCGCACGAAAUAGUCUGUGAAAUUAGGAUUUCCGGAAGGAAAUGAUGCUUCUUUGCUUUUGACAGUUCGAGACCCCUCUAUAGGCAGUUACGAUUUCCGGAUUCUAUUUUCGACGGAAAUCUGAUCAGGAUACACGUAACACAAACAAAGUUAGCUGCAUUCAUACGGCUGGAUAUAAUAUGACUAUCCUAUUUUAUUUUUGCGGUGACAACGACAUACUUACAUGAUUUUUCCUUGAUGAGAUUAAACUGGAAACAGUUAAUCUGUAACAAAUGUAUUUCAAGCAGAACGAAAGUUCGUCAACCUCUUUCAUCCAAUUUUACCAGAUCGUAAAUUAAAUAAUAUAUUCCAUAAAUGAGAAUAUCAUCGAAAUUAUUAAAUAUAUUUAUUACUUUAUUAUAGUAAAAAGAAAACAACAACAGCCUUGGUUAACUUCGGAACAAAUGACCUUCGUUUGUUUCUUACGUCAUGUUUGUCCUUCGAAAUCACUUAUCUGUUACUAAUUCUUAACCUCAACUAGAAUACAGUGUUGCAUAAGUGGAUAAAGUUUGAUUUAUCAAACAAGAAGGCAUUUUUUAUUUCAACUUUUUUUUCAAUUUUGUUUAAGUUGAUUUUAUUUUUAAUUCUCUGAAAUGAAU